UAACGCGAAGAACCUUACCUGGGUUUGACAUGCACAGGACGGCACUAGAGAUAGUGCUCCCCUUGUGGCCUGUGUGCAGGUGGUGCAUGGCUGUCGUCAGCUCGUGUCGUGAGAUGUUGGGUUAAGUCCCGCAACGAGCGCAACCCUUGUCUCAUGUUGCCAGCACGUAAUGGUGGGGACUCGUGAGAGACUGCCGGUGCCAAACCGGAGGAAGGUGGGGAUGACGUCAAGUCAUCAUGCCCCUUAUGUCCAGGGCUGCACACAUGCUACAAUGCGCGGUACAGAGGGCAGCGAUCCCGCAAGGGGGAGCGAAUCCCAAAAAGCCGCGCUCAGUUCGGAUCGGGGUCUGCAACUCGACCCCGUGAAGUCGGAGUCGCUAGUAAUCGCAGAUCAGCAAUGCUGCGGUGAAUACGUUCCCGGGUCUUGUACACACCGA
rnacentral:rRNA from 1 species